AUUGAACGCUGGCGGCAGGCCUAACACAUGCAAGUCGAGCGGAUGAAGGGAGCUUACUCCUGGAUUCAGCGGCGGACGGGUGAGUAAUGCCUAGGAAUCUGCCUGGUAGUGGGGGAUAACGUCCGGAAACGGGCGCUAAUACCGCAUACGUCCUGAGGGAGAAAGUGGGGGAUCUUCGGACCUCACGCUAUCAGAUGAGCCUAGGUCGGAUUAGCUAGUUGGUGGGGUAAAGGCCUACCAAGGCGACGAUCCGUAACUGGUCUGAGAGGAUGAUCAGCCACACUGGAACUGAGACACGGUCCAGACUCCUACGGGAGGCAGCAGUGGGGAAUAUUGGACAAUGGGCGAAAGCCUGAUCCAGCCAUGCCGCGUGUGUGAAGAAGGUCUUCGGAUUGUAAAGCACUUUAAGUUGGGAGGAAGGGCAGUAAGUUAAUACCUUGCUGUUUUGACGUUACCAACAGAAUAAGCACCGGCUAACUUCGUG
rnacentral:rRNA from 1 species